rnacentral:rRNA from 1 species
AGAGUUUGAUCCUGGCUCAGGAUGAACGCUGGCGGCGUGCUUAACACAUGCAAGUCGAACGAGCCUUCGGGCUAGUGGCGGACGGGUGAGUAACGCGUGAGAAUCUGCCCUCAGGAGGGGGAUAACGGCUGGAAACGGCCGCUAAUACCCCAUAUGCCGCGAGGUGAAAUGAGAAAUCGCCUGAGGAUGAGCUCGCGUCUGAUUAGCUAGUUGGUGGGGUAAGAGCCUACCAAGGCAUCGAUCAGUAGCUGGUCUGAGAGGAUGAUCAGCCACACUGGGACUGAGACACGGCCCAGACUCCUACGGGAGGCAGCAGUGGGGAAUUUUCCGCAAUGGGCGCAAGCCUGACGGAGCAACGCCGCGUGAGGGAUGAAGGCCUCUGGGCUGUAAACCUCUUUUCUCAAGGAAGAAGAACUGACGGUACUUGAGGAAUAAGCCACGGCUAAUUCCGUGCCAGCAGCCGCGGUAAUACGGGAGUGGCAAGCGUUAUCCGGAAUUAUUGGGCGUAAAGCGUCCGCAGGCGGUCUUGAAAGUCUGUUGUUAAAGCGUGGAGCUCAACUCCAUUUCAGCAAUGGAAACUAGAAGACUAGAGUGUGGUAGGGGCAGAGGGAAUUCCCGGUGUAGCGGUGAAAUGCGUAGAUAUCGGGAACAACACCAGUGGCGAAGGCGCUCUGCUGGGCCAUAACUGACGCUCAUGGACGAAAGCCAGGGGAGCGAAAGGGAUUAGAUACCCCUGUAGUCCUGGCCGUAAACGAUGAACACUAGGUGUCGGGGGAAUCGACCCCCUCGGUGUCGUAGCCAACGCGUUAAGUGUUCCGCCUGGGGAGUACGCACGCAAGUGUGAAACUCAAAGGAAUUGACGGGGGCCCGCACAAGCGGUGGAGUAUGUGGUUUAAUUCGAUGCAACGCGAAGAACCUUACCAGGGUUUGGCAUCCUGCGAAUCUUUUGGAAACAGAAGAGUGCCUUCGGGAGCGCAGAGACAGGUGGUGCAUGGCUGUCGUCAGCUCGUGUCGUGAGAUGUUGGGUUAAGUCCCGCAACGAGCGCAACCCACGUCUUUAGUUGCCAGCAUUGAGUUGGGCACUCUAGAGAGACCGCCGGUGAUAAACCGGAGGAAGGUGUGGAUGACGUCAAGUCAUCAUGCCCCUUACAUCCUGGGCUACACACGUACUACAAUGCUACAGACAGAGGGCAGCAAGCUCGCGAGAGCUAGCAAAUCCCAUAAACCGUGGCUCAGUUCAGAUCGUAGGCUGCAACUCGCCUACGUGAAGGAGGAAUCGCUAGUAAUCGCAGGUCAGCAUACUGCGGUGAAUACGUUCCCGGGCCUUGUACACACCGCCCGUCACACCAUGGAAGUUGGCCAUGCCCGAAGUCGUUACUCCAACCCUUGUGGAGGAGGACGCCGAAGGUGGGGCUGAUGACUGGGGUGAAGUCGGAACAAGGUA